rnacentral:rRNA from 1 species
AUUGAACGCUGGCGGCAGGCUUAACACAUGCAAGUCGAGCGGGGUGAUGGUGCUUGCACUAUCACUUAGCGGCGGACGGGUGAGUAAUGCUUAGGAAUCUGCCUAUUAGUGGGGGACAACAUCUCGAAAGGGAUGCUAAUACCGCAUACGUCCUACGGGAGAAAGCAGGGGAUCACUUGUGACCUUGCGCUAAUAGAUGAGCCUAAGUCGGAUUAGCUAGUUGGGGGGGUAAAGGCCUACAAGGCGACGAUCUGUAGCGGGUCUGAGAGGAUGAUCCGCCACACUGGGACUGAGACACGGCCCAGACUCCUACGGGAGGCAGCAGUGGGGAAUAUUGGACAAUGGGGGGAACCCUGAUCCAGCCAUGCCGCGUGUGUGAAGAAGGCCUUAUGGUUGUAAAGCACUUUAAGCGAGGAGGAGGCUCUUUUGGUUAAUACCCAAGAUGAGUGGACGUUACUCGCAGAAUAAGCACCGGCUAACUCUGUGCCAGCCGCCGCAGUAA